UGGGUAACCUGCCUCAAAGAGGGGAAUAGCCUCCCGAAAGGGAGAUUAAUACCGCAUAAUAUGUUUAAGUCGCAUGACUUUAACAUCAAAGGAUUUUCUUUUAGAAAUUCCACUUUGAGAUGGACCCGCGGUGCAUUAGCUAGUUGGUGAGGUAACGGCUCACCAAGGCAACGAUGCGUAGCCGACCUGAGAGGGUGAUCGGCCACAUUGGAACUGAGACACGGUCCAGCUCCGUAGGAGG
rnacentral:rRNA from 1 species